GAUGAAGAACGCAGUGAAAUGCGAUAAGUAAUGUGAAUUGCAGAAUUCAGUGAAUCAUCGAAUCUUUGAACGCACAUUGCGCCCGCCAGUAUUCUGGCGGGCAUGCCUGUUCGAGCGUCAUUACAACCCUCAGGCCCCCGGGCCUGGCGUUGGGGAUCGGCGAGGCGCCCCCCGCGGGCACGCGCCGUCCCCCAAAUACAGUGGCGGUCCCGCCGCAGCUUCCAUUGCGUAGUAGCUAACACCUCGCAACUGGAGAGCGGCGCGGCCAUGCCGUAAAACACCCAACUUCUGAAUGUUGACCUCGAAUCAGGUAGGAAUACCCGCUGAACUUAAGCAUAUCAUAAGCGGAGGA
rnacentral:misc_RNA from 1 species